GGCCUAGGUUAUUUUUAGACGCACCGUAAAGUCCCAGUCACACCAUUGCAACAACGUCCUGUUUUGAUAAAUUUGUUAAAAUGCUGGGACCAUGAUACUAAUAGUAUAAUAUUUCCCUUUUAAAUAGUAAUUGUUAUGAAUGAUAAUAUUUUAUAUGUAUGCUGUCUUAGUUUUUAAAUAGUUAUUUGGUUAAUAUGGUGUCUCGUAAGUCAUUUUUGGACAGGAUAUUUUUGUUUUAUAGUGUAUGUAUAUUCUGCACGAAUAAUUUUUAUCGCUAUCAUUAUAAAAAACUAGACCUAUGUGAACCGUAUGAGAUCGCACA
rnacentral:lncRNA from 1 species